rnacentral:lncRNA from 1 species
CAGUGUUAGAGGUGAAACCCACGCAGAGCCAUGAGAAUGACAGACAAAUGAUUUGCUGUUGCAUUGCACAGCCAUCUUAAACCCUGAUGUCAUAAAACUCAGUCUCCUGAAGAGAAAACCUGCGGGAUUCUUAGACAUAGGAAGGUCCACACAGGCUUCAACAGAGGAGUGUGGACACGAUGAAUGAUUCCUAGAGUGGUACAUUGUGGGUGAGUGACACUUCCCUACAAGGCUGAGCUGAGACUUUUGAAGACCUUUCAAGGCAUUAUCCCUUCCAGGAUAUCUACAGGGAAACAUUACUGAGAACUGACGUCAAAUACAUCAAUCCAUUUGAUGCUCAAUUGCAAGCAUGGUGCAAGUACUACUCUAAAUAAUACAAGCAGAACUCCACUAAUACAUAGUCUAGCUGCCUCUACUUUAAAAAAAAAAAAGGGAUGUAGUAUAGUUUCUCAGUGAUGCCUUAUGGAGCCCUAGUUUUAAAACCCUUCAAAGCAAUAGCUGUAUGAAAAGUACUAGAUGUGGCGGUAGCACUUGAGACAGAGAACAGCCAUCAGGAAAGACAUAGACCCACCUCUGACCAUGGCUGAUGGGUGAAUUCCUUGAGAGGGCUUCUUAGUAGUGUUACAAUAUAUUCACCAAGCUGGCGAGAGAAGAAUGAAAGGGAAGAGCUAUACAACAGAGCCAUGGUGAGGAAAACAGCAUGGUACUGACACAAGGCAGACAUGUAAACCCACGGAAGAGAACAGGAGACCCAGACACAAAACAAUGAAGCCACAUCACUUCAUUUCGACGACGGUGUAAAAUACUCACGGUGGUGGGGCAGUCUUUUUGAACAAAAAAAAAAUACUGGGGAAAGUCACAUGCAGGAGAAUCAAAUUAUUGUCAAAAAAUUCUCACUCACCUCACUCAAAACCCAGUGCCAAGUGGUUCAAAGUCAUUAACGUAAGACUCAAAAACUCUGAAACCAGUGGAAGGAAAGUAGAGAAGACACUGAAAAACACAGGUGUAGGUGAGCGCCUUCUGCAUAGGACUCAAAUGCUCAGGAACUAAGAUCAGUCAUGAAGAACAAGGCCUCAAAAAAUGUUCCUGAGGUGUAGAAUGUGGCUAUGCUGUAGAGCCAAGGUCUUCAGUUCAACACCCACCCCACCCCACCCCACACACACACCACACCCUUACAGCAAAUGAGACAGUUAAGUAAGUAAAGCGCCAAAGAGAUAGCCUGCGGAGUAGAACAUCUUUGCCUGCUUUAUCCCUGACAAAGGACUGAUAUCCAGAAUGUAUGAAGAACUCAAAACUCUUAACAAAUGAUCUAACUGCAGAUUGGGCUGAGGAGCUAAACAGACUUUCUCACACGUACAAAUGGCUGUAUAAUUAACUAAUAAUGUUAUUUUUAUUGCUGCUGUUGUAUGUGUUCAACAUCCUUAGUCAUCAGGGAAAUCCAAACGAAAACCACAUUGAGUUCAAGAUGGCUAUCAACAAAGAAGCACAAACUACACAGUGCUGGCGAGGGCACGGGGAAGGAGGGACACUUACUGAUAUCCUGAGGCUAGUCUGCAGAGAAUAUGUUUGUUUGUUAAGUUCUUCCCUAGGUUGGGCAUUGGUCUGUCUUCAGAUGUGAACAAUUGAGAUGCACGUUGGUGUCAAAUCACUGAGGGUUUAUAAUUUGAGAAGGCAAAAGGGACUCUGUGUGUAUUUAUUUCAAAGACCUGAAAGCCUUUCCCACAAAGUUGUAUGCAUACCUAAACUUACUGCUAAUGACCACUGUUUACACCAUUCUAAUAACAAGGAAAAACAAAACCAGAGCUAAGUCUUUGGAGUUCAAGGACAAAAUGUGUGUGUGUGUGUGUGUGUGUGUGUGUGCGUGCAUGCAUGUGUGUAUUGGAGGGUGAAGACAAACGAAUCAAAAUCAGCAUUUUUGCAAUCUAUUCCACCUGGCCACCUUAAUAACAUGUCAAUUAAAUGAUCUACAUGCACUAAAAACUCCUUGGUAUACUAUAGAGAAUGUACAUGGCAAAACACUAAAAAGCAUCCGGGAUUCAAACUGAUUAUGAGGAAACAUUGUCUAAAAACCUGGAAGUAUCCACUCUAUAACCCAGCAGGACCCUGGGUUGUUGUCCAGAGGGCCAUGUCAUCAAAGGAAGAGACUACAUGGUUUCCUAUAAACGGUAAGCUGAGCAGAGCUGUUGUCCUUUGCUUGUGAGGAAAUGACUGUCAACCCCUCAGUGCCUAAAUGCCUAAAACCUGUUUUAUACCAUUCAUGUGACAAUCUCCUUUCCUCCCCCCAUCCAGCCCUGCUCUUUAUGCAAAAUGCUUGUUAGGUCAAGUUUGAAUAAUCAUCAAUUUUAUACCAUAGAAGCCUGAAAGAUACAGUCCAUUUUCUCACACACACACACACACACACACACACACACACACACACACACACACACACACACAUUCUUCAAAUGCUCUCUGUGUGUACAGACAUCAAAUGUCUCAACUUGAACUAGUCUGCUUUGCAGCUGUAUUUGAGUGAACACCUGCAACCCAUGGGUUAUCUGAACAGUGUUCCGGGUUCUAUCACUUACGGAAAAGGUAAAACUGUUUCACCAUCUUUUUGACAAUGUUGCAAUGAACUCUUCCCUCAAGUACUAAAAGCCUGCCUGGCCUUAGCCAAAGUAAACGCCUAGCCAGUCUCAGUGAGUAGUUCGCCUCCCUUUUCUAAAGCUGUUAGCGUGAAUAAAUUAAUGAGGUCAUCACUUACCCUCAGAGGACUGACUUCUGAAAAAAAGAAUAUGUGAGACUUGAAAAGGUAAAUCUUUUUAUCGUUCCAGAGAAAUACAAAUAUCUUCCUCUGCUCACGGUGUAAUCAGCUUUUCUCGGUAUUACAUCAUGAGCAACGAUGCAGGUCAUUAGUUCAGUGCCUGGAUAUGAUCAUUUGUUAGAUGAACUACCAUGUCAGGGUUUUGAACUGCAGCAAUCAGUCAGAAGUUUCUCUUUUCCCUUGAUUUAUGUUUUUGAGUAUGUUAAUGAAUGUUUUAUAGAUUUUAAUAUAUAUUUAUAUAUUUGAUUUAUGUAUAAAAGUUGAUUUAUGUAUCAAAUAUAUAUAUAUAUAUGUAUAUAUAUAUAAAACAAUUAAAUAAAUGUUGCAUCUUGACUGUUAACAAUACUAUGCCAUACUUACUUGAAUAUCAAAAAUCUAAAUGUUUAUGUAAACCAUUCUCUUUAUUAGUCAAGUAAUAAAAAAUGUAAAUUACUGGUUUACUGGU